GUGCUAACUCAUUUCUCUCUCUCUUGGCCUCUCCAUAGCACCAAUGGAUGUAUGUGCUCUAAGAGAGAUGAAUGGAUGACCACAUUGCCACCUGAGAAAAGCAGGAGUGCCAAUGCAUUCAACUACAUCAUUUAGUAUGAAUGGUAAAGAAGGACGUGGAGACACAGUGUCUGGACUGAUAGUCCUCUUGAUAGAGCGCAAAAGGCACAACAAAGCUAUCUAGAAGCCUACAAUAAAACAAAGGUGAUUGCAGAAGGAGAUGACGUAAAGAGCAGAAACCGAGAUGCUUCAAUGGUAGAUAAAUACAACACCUCCAAACGGUCAGUGUAUCUUGUGCAGAAGCACCGAGAGCAAAAAGGAGAAAAAGAAGCAAAAGCAAAACGAGAAAGAAGAAUGGGAGGGAAACCCCCCAUGGAAGCCAUGGGACCGUGAAAAGGAUCUGUCUGCUGUGCGGCAAAAGGUCAGCUUAGAUCCAGAGAACAUGUCACAAGGAUUGUCCUCCCGUUUUGCAUCUGGAGCUGUGCAGAGGAACUUCCUGUAAGCAAUCGGGAAAUAUAACCACUGCCGAAGCAUGGCCUAGUUGAUUACUAGUAUCAUGUUGCCCUUGGUGUCAGAUGCCAAAGAUAUUAGAGAGUAGACACUUAAAACCAUGGAAGUGCCAUGUGUUGGAAAUAAACACACCAUGGUUUAGAGCAGUGCGUGCGUGAGUUAGUUUGAUUGAGUCGGAGUCUGUUGGAGGAGCCGUGUGCGUGACGUUGAUCCGAGUGGAGGAGGCCGCGUCGU